UACAGAGGGGGCAAGCGUUGUUCGGAAUCACUGGGCUUAAAGGGCGCGUAGGCGGGCCAGCCAGUCUGUGGUGAAAGCCUCCAGCUUAACUGGAGAAGUGCCGUGGAUACUGCUGGCCUCGAGGAGGAUAGGGGCAUCUGGAACGGUCGGUGGAGCGGUGAAAUGCGUUGAUAUCGACCGGAACUCCGGUGGCGAAGGCGAGGUGCUGGGUCCUUUCUGACGCUGAUGCGCGAAAGCCAGGGGAGCAAACGGG
rnacentral:rRNA from 1 species